rnacentral:snRNA from 1 species
AUACUUACCUGGCGUAGGGGAUACCGUGAUCAUGCAGGCGAUUCCCCCAGGACGAGGCUACUCCAUUGCACUGCGGAGUCGUUGACCCUUGCGAUUAUCCCUAAUGCGGAUGACUCGGACGCGUAAUUUUUAUAAAUCAUUGU